ACAAAUUGAGUCAAAUCCCAAGGUCAAUGUAUUGUCCUAUUGAACAUGUAUUGGAUAAUGCAACUCAAUAAUGUUUAUGUAGAUACUCUAUUCAUAUUAGAGAAUUCAGUAAAUAUGUAUAAAUAUUUAAUUAAAAAUCAAUAAUUAUGACGAUUAUGAAUUUAGUAACAUCUAUCGUAACUAGUGGAAAAAAAAUAUACAUAUUAGUUAAAAGUAAUAGUUAAAUAAUAAUACUGACAUGUGUACUCUUUGUUACAUAACAACUUUAUCAGUUAUAACGAGGCUGAUGUUUAAUUUUGAUGUAUAGGCAUCUUUGUUGGGAGAAGCAAUAACAGGAAAGGGUAUUUUGGCACAAUUGAAUCUUGAAACUGGAAUUCCAAUCUAUGAAGCAGAGCCACUUCUAUUGUUCUUCAUCCUAUUCAAUCUUCUUGGAGCCAUUGGAGCUUUGGGAGACAGAGGCAAAUUUAUUGAUGACCCUUCCCCUGCUACUGGCCUUGAAAAGGCUGUCAUCCCUCCUGGCAAAUCCUUCAAGUCUGCUUUGGGACUCACUGAAGGAGGUAUUAUAACUUUAUAUUUUUAAGUUCUAUGCACUGUCGGUAUAAAAAAAAAACAUUUUAUGUGACGUUGUUUGAUUGAAUAUUGCAGGUCCACUUUUUGGAUUCACAAAGGCAAAUGAGUUGUUUGUAGGAAGAUUGGCACAAUUGGGAAUUGCAUUUUCCAUUAUAGGUGAAAUUAUCACAGGAAAAGGAGCAUUGGCGCAAUUGAACUUUGAGACAGGUGUCCCAAUCAAUGAGAUUGAGCCUCUUUUGUUGUUUAACAUUGCCUUCUUCUUCUUUGCUGCUAUUAAUCCUGGUACUGGCAAAUUUAUCACUGAUGAGGAAGAAGAUUAGAUAUAGAGUACUAGUACUUUUUGUGUGUAUGACUUAUGUGUAGUUUCUUUUAAUAAGAAUUCAAACCUCCUUUAAAUUCCUUCAAAGUUGUUUGCACUCUCUUUAAUUAAUUUUAAAAGUACACCCGAUAAGGAGUGUGAUGAAAUGGUAACAGUUUACCUUACUCGCGAUUUGAGCACUGAAAUAAAGUCCUUUAUGGGAGGACAUAAAAACUUUUAUAUGGCGUAAAUUCUUUGAAAACACUUGAACGAGGCUAUACACAAAACUUGAGACAUUAAUAGAUGAAGUCGAAAUUCAAAGAAAAAACGUCAAUGCAACAAUGUAUAUCACGCUUCUUUAUGUGUAUAUCAAUAUAUAUCAUGUAUAGACUUUCAUAGAUAUACAUAUAUAUACAUGAUAUACAAUAGAUACACAUGUAUACAAAAAGGACACACAAAUAUAUAAGGGACAUACACCACCUCGAAAACUAAUAAAUUUUCCUUUCAUUUCACUCAUCAUCCGCUGCAUCACAACCACAAAGAUAUCAUACCUACCUACCUACCGCUUAACGUAACGAUACAAAUACUAUUUCAAUUAAACGGAAAAAAAACCCUUCAAUUUAUACUUUAAUUAAAAUUCGUAAUUUAAAUUGUAUUGGGCUGCAACAUAUAACUGCUAAUUUAAUUAUCAUCUCCAACUUCCAAAUGUUUCCUUAUCCCAUUAAGGCUAUCUAUAGCAGUUUCUUCUUGACAAACUUCGAAAUAAUGAACUUUUUUCAUGGCGACCAACACCAUUUUGAUGUACCACAGUCCAUAUAAUGUUAAAACAAAAAAAAAUAAUACUAUGAAUUAAAGUAUAUAUGAGACGUGUAUAAUGAGAAUUAAGGGGUUGGAGGCACCUUGGUGUUCUUGCGGUAUUGGUUGGGUGCCUAGGGCUCUCAUACAUUUGCAAAAAAACAUAUAUAUGUGAUCUAUCAAAACACUAUGGGUGGGCAGUGCAAGUUAGGGGUGGUGGGGUAGAAUGAUCAAGGGGAGGGUUUGGAGGGGCAUUGAGUAGGUGAUAAAAAAGAGACCAAUAGACUUGGAAUAUCAUGAGAUAUGAAACUUGUUUCCCCUACUUUUAUUAUGGAAAUCAUUUUCCUCAUUGUUAAGGAACAUAUUUUACUAGGGAAAAUAUUUUAACCAACUAAAUAUUAGAAAAUUAAAAAUAUUUUUCAGAAAGUAUUUUCCUCUCGACCAAACACACCCUUAGUGCUUGUUCGUAUCGUAGUAAAUAUGUUUAUCGAUGGUAGUGUUUGUAGUGAUUGUUGGAUGACGGUAGAAAAUAUAUAUUGUAUGUGUAAAACACGGUACUAUAUGUGCACAUAAGGCUAAUUCACGUAAGUGAUGUCUAUUUGCUCGUAUUGCACAUAAUAUUUUGGCGUAUAUAAUAUACAUACAUACGUCAUACGUAUAACAAAUAAAUGGUGUUCGAGUUAAUGACAUCCUACCCUAUUAUCACAACCUUGCCACAAGUGCAAGUUAGCUUUUGUUUCAAGUUGGUUCCAAGGUAUUGCAUAUUUGGAUUUUAUUUAUUAAUCACGUAGAAUUAAUCAUCUUUUGCUUUUUAUAUCUCAUGCGUGAGGUGAACAAAAUGCACCAGUCCAUUAUCGCCUAGGUACAUAAUAGUGUUUUUUUUUAGAACUAUUAAGUUAAUUGUAGCAAAGUAUAUAGCUUAAUUAAAAGUUAAAACUGUCCAGAUUUAAAAAAAAAACAGUGCGAAUAUAUUAACUUAAUUAAUUAAUUAAUUAAUUAAUGCAUUUCAACUGAGCGCGGGAAAUCUAAACGGAAUGCCGAGUAAAAUCGCGGGAAAUAGCAACCACAGGUAACCUGUUACCGGCUAUACCGGUUACCUAAUCCUUUGUUUUCAUAUAACCAAGUGGGCCCCACAGCCUAGCAACGAAAGGUAAAAAGGAAAAAAAAAAGCAAAGGGGAAAUUCUGGGGAGCCUUCUUCACUCAAUUGGAAUUCCCAAAUUGCAAAAAACCCUAACCAAAGCUGAUCCAAUGGAGGAUGUUGAAGCAGUGGAGGAAGGACUUCGUAGCAGGCGAAAGUUUGUUCAGUCGACGCUGUUUCCGAACAGUGCGAAGCAGAUUCCAGUUAAAGGAGGAGCUGAGGAAGCUGAAGAAAAGAGAGUAGAUGAAGAAGAAGAAGAUGAGGAGGAAGAGUGGUGUGCGAGCCAAGAAAAUGGGAAUAAGACGAAAGGAAAACAGAGAAAGAAGAGAAAUUCCAAGGCAACAACGCCGCAGACUAACUCAAGAUCUUCUAAGAAGGUGAGUUUUGUUGCCAGUUUAUUACCUACAGUGCUAGCUAAGAUAAUUUUACGAGAAUUGCGUUUGAUUAGACCAAUGUGAUCGGAUUAGCAUUAGGAUUUUGCAAGUGCUAGGUUUAAGAAAGGUGAACUCUCUUUAGAAGUUAGUUUUCUAGCUCGAAUAUGGCUCUUAAGUAAUGAAGACCUGUUCCAAGUCCUUCAAUCCCACCAUUAUUAUAAUGAAAAAAGUAUAGUAUUAUUUUUUGAUACCCAUGGUAGUGUUUGAGCUAGCUUGUUAACAUAUCGACCAUUCCACUGGGUACCUACAUCCUACCACCAAUACGUGUAUUGUUGUACUUCAUCAACUAAGCAGAUGGGAUGAAAUUACUUGGAUUUUUUACCAGUACUCUGUCCUGCAUAUAUUCAUUCCAGCUUCAUCAAUUGUUAGGUCACACCCUUGGCCACAUAAAGAAUUUGUAUUUCUUCUACAUCUCUGCAACAUGAUCACAAAACAAAUAAUAUCUUCCCCAGUAGUUGUGUCCUUCCCAGUGACAUGCCUGUGUUGUCCAUUAUUGUUUGCAUAUACUGGUCUCAUUCCCUCUCUGCAUCUACCUCUCAAAUAUCAGUCUACUUAUUUAUCCAAUUAAGUAGAGAGAAGAGUAAAAUCUGGCAUAGGAUUAACAUAGAAAGGGCUGUAUGAUACUGUAGCUUUGAUUUUAUCUGUCUACGUUAUAAUUCAGGUUGCUCUAAACGGUAGAGAAACUUCAAGCAAGGAAAUGCCUGAUGGAGACUCUUCAGUUGUUGUCAGUAAGUAAAUUACUUAAAAAGACGUUCUUUGUCUUGUCCGUACUACAAUAAAGUGGGGCUGGGAAGGGGAGGGAGGAUUAUAGAUAAUAUAUGGGGAAACAAAGAAAAAGUCAAUUCUUUCUCCUUUGCUGAAUUCUUGAAUGCUGAAAGCAAAAGAAUGAGAGUUUUCUUGCUAAUUAAUGGAAAAAUGAUGCAUUUUGUUGCUUAUUUAUACUUCUUCUUUUUUCUGCAGAAAAUGAUUUCUUUCUAAAGCUUUCAGAGAGAAAGAAUCAGAAAAGACAGCAAAAUGAGCAGCUAUACACUGAGUCACCUGAAAAGAUCCAAACAUCUUGCUCACCUCCUGAGUUUGCUGCAAGUAUGCAUUAUUCUUUUUUCCUUCAAUCAUGUCGUUUAUAAUUAUUUUUCAGUCUACUAAGUCAUCAUAUAUUGAUUAAGAAAAAGAAACUCUAGCAUAAUCUUGUGUCUAUAAUUUUUUAAAAAGAGGUAUAGUUAGGGCUAAGGCCUGCGUACAUCGUGCGCUCCCCAAACACCACUUGUGGGAUUACACUGGGUAUGUUUUUCUUUUUAGGUAUGAGAUAGAUUAUGAAAAGGUAGUCCUUUAGAAAGUUGCAUGCACUCUUGAUGCUUCAAUUGAUGUUCCUGUCAAAUUCAAAUGAAGUGCAUAGGAGUACAUUUAACAUCAUGUAAUAAUUUGGAAUGAAUUUUUCCUUGGCAUAUAAAGAUGAUAUCGGACUGUAGAUGCAUCAAUCCCAUUUUAAGUAUGCUUUUACUGUUUCAUAAAAUCUUAUAUUAUCUGCAACAGAUCAUUCUACAGAGUGCUAGAAGUUUAUUCAUAUAUGGAAAACGAAACCGGCAGUUUAGUAUGAAUUCUUUUAACCUUUCAUAACUUGUGCAAACAGUUCUGCAAGCUCCCAGCUUCUGUUAGGAUAUGAUAAAGUACUUUGCAUUGACUUCUAAUGUGUAGUUAAUAGUUUUUCUAUAUUGUAGAAGCUUAAAUCAUUUGAUACCCCUAAUCAAUAACUAAGCCCCUUCCAUGUCUUAUACGAGAGAAUACAAGAUAAUGAUUCCACAACCUUCUCUUUGUUUCUCAUUCUUUGGCCUCCUAGAAGGCUAGAACACUUACUGCUGCCAACUAAGUUGCUCGGACUCGGGCGCGGGUAUCCGAGACGGAUGCGAAUCCGAGAGUCGGAUUCGGCAAAAUUUAAAUUUUAAGAUUCGGGGGUGCGAAUCCGAGUAUGGAUACGGGUGCGGGGAUUCGUUAAAAUUAUUCAAUAUUAUAAAUAAUAAUAAUAAUAAUAAUAAUAAUAAUAAUAAUAAUAAUAAUAAUAAUAAUAAUAAUAAUAAUAAUAAUAAUAAUAAUAAUAAUAAUAAUAAUAAUAAUAAUAAUAAUAAUAAUAAUAAUAAUAAUAAUAAUAAUAAUAAUAAUAAUAAUAAUAAUAAUAAUAAUAAUAAUAAUAAUAAUAAUAAUAAUAAUAAUAAUAAUAAUAAUAAUAAUAAUAAUAAUAAUAAUAAUAAUAAUAAUAAUAAUAAUAAUAAUAAUAAUAAUAAUAAUAAUAAUAAUAAUAAUAAUAAUAAUAAUAAUAAUAAUAAUAAUAAUAAUAAUAAUAAUAAUAAUAAUAAUAAUAAUAAUAAUAAUAAUAAUAAUAAUAAUAAUAAUAAUAAUAAUAAUAAUAAUAAUAAUAAUAAUAAUAAUAAUAAUAAUAAUAAUAAUAAUAAUAAUAAUAAUAAUAAUAAUAAUAAUAAUAAUAAUAAUAAUAAUAAUAAUAAUAAUAAUAAUAAUAAUAAUAAUAAUAAUAAUAAUAAUAAUAAUAAUAAUAAUAAUAAUAAUAAUAAUAAUAAUAAUAAUAAUAAUAAUAAUAAUAAAUAUCUUGUAAAAUGCUAUACUUAAAAGGAUAUCAAUUAUAGAUAUACAAAUUUAAAAGUAUAAAUUAAUUACUUGUUACUAAUUAAUUUUAAAAAAAUUAUAAUUAUUUUUAUUUAUUAUAAAAAAGAAAUAAUCAUUUAUAUAUAUAUAUAUAUAUAUAUANNNNNNNNNNNNNNNNNNNNNNNNNNNNNNNNNNNNNNNNNNNNNNNNNNNNNNNNNNNNNNNNNNNNNNNNNNNNNNNNNNNNNNNNNNNNNNNNNNUUAUUAUAAAAAAGAAAUACUCAUUUAUAUAUAUAUAUAGUCUAACUUAAAUUAGAUAGUAGUACAAUUCAUUAAAGUUCUGUGUGCUGCCCUUUCUUCUCCCAAGAAUGCCUUUUCUUCUCCCAAGAAACCCUAGCCUUCUUUUUUCCUUUUCAAGAAAAAAGCUCUCUCUUCUUUUUCAAGAAAAAAACUUUGAAUUAUUUGUUCUUUCCAUGGAGCCCUUCGCCUCCUCUUUGUUCUUGUACAAGAAAAAAAAUCUGCCUGCUCUCUCUCUAUUCUUGUAAGUUUUGCCUCUUCAUUAUUCUUUUCCAUGGAGCAGCCAGACCUUGUGACAACUUCGUCGUUGUCAACUUUCGCCAUCCAUGAAAUUAUCUCUUCUUCCCCAUUUUUUUUCUCGGCUUUGGUCAAAGUAUCCGGAUCGGAUUGACCGAAUCCGACACGCACCCCGCACCCGCGCCUGCACCAGUGUCGCGUCGAGACGGGUUCGGCCGCAAAAAUGAAGAGUCCGCGCAACAUAGGCUGCCAAAUAUCUGGAAUUUUCUUUCCUCCCCUUUUUUUCCUUUUUUGUUUCUCUGAAUAGUAAAAGAUAAAAAAAUUAUCCACUAAUAACGUCAUCUGCACAAGACAGGGAGGACCUAAGGGUUUAUACAUAUGAUAGUCCAAAAGAUCAGUUUCCUCAUUCUUAAUCUUAUCGCUCCUUGUAUGCUCACACAUUCACCUUAACAUCCUCAUUUUCGCGACACACAUAUUUUGAAUACGGGAGUUCUUGACUAUACAACACUCCUCCCCAUACAACAAAGUCUGUCUAACCACCACUUUAUAAAACUUACCUUUAAGUUUUGUUGGUUUCUUUUUAUCACACAAGGCUCCGGAUGCAUGCCUCCACUUCAUCCACGUUGCACCAAUAUCGUGUGUGUGAUGUCAUCGUCGAUGUCCCCAGUUUCUGGUAUUAUAGACCCAGGUACUUGAAACUAUCUUUCUUGGGGAUAACUUGAGUGCCAACCUUCACUUCCACACUUGCCUCUUGUAUUAAAUCACUGAAUUUGCACUCCAAAUACUCUAUUUUUGUCUUGCUUAACCUGAAUCCUUUAGACUCGCAAGUUUGUCUCCACACCUCAACCUAGCAUUUACACCGUUGCACAUCUCAUCAAUCAGUAUUAUGUCAUCAACAAAUAGCAUAUAACAAAGCACCUCAUUUUGAAUGGACUGCAUCAAUUCAUCCAUCACCAAGGCAAAUAGGCAUGGGCUAAGAGCUAACCUUUGGUGCACUUCCAUCUCAACUGUGAAGUGCUCAGAGUCUCCUCCCACCGUUUGCACUCGUGUCUUAGCUCCAUCAUAUAUGUCUUUUAUCCCUCUAGUGUAAGUUAUCGUACCCCUCUAGCCUCCGGGCAUCUCUAGAGGACGUCCCUUGGGACUUUGUCGUGGGCCUUUUUAAGGUCGAUGAACACCAUAUGUAGGUCCCUUUUCCUUUCCCGGUAUCUCUCCACCAAUUCCUCACAAGAUGGAUGGCUUUUGUAGUCGAUCACCCUGGCAUGAAUCCAAACUGAUUCUUGUAAAUGGACACACUCCUCCUCACUCACAACUCCACCACUCUCUCCCAAACUUCUAUAGUAUGGCUUAGCAACUUGAUACCCCUGUAAUACUUGUCCAAAUCCUUAUUGUUAUCCACUUCACCCAAUGAAAUGGUCUCACGCUUCCUGAGAUUUGAGGCUUGACACUGCUUGGAGCCAUGCAAAAACUUGUCUCAGUUAAUUCAAUAGGUAAUAACUAAUAUCCGCAUACAGAAAAUUUAAAGUACUGUUUGGGAACAAGAAACCUGAAACCCUCACUAUAUGUUGCUUUUGUUGCAAAAAAAGUUCGUCAAGUAUUAGCAUGCCUCAGAUUUAUCCAUUAUUCUGCUCAACCCGGCCAUUACUAAAAGAAAGCGAAUAUCAUUGGGUUGCUCUAUCUCAAGCCCCUCGAGUUGCAAAAGAACCACACAGACUGCCAUUCACUAGGACUGAGAAUUUGACUGUUAAUAUUCGAACUUGAUCCACUUCUGCCGCCUAUCCUCGAAUCCCAUCUUCAACAUUAUAAAGUCCGGGAACUUCUUAAUAUCCAGUCUGUUUCUGAAGAACUUCCUAAUCAUAUCUGAUAUUAUGUGCUAUUGAGAUCAGUAAAUUCAUGUUUUCUAUGUGAAUGUACUUUGAAAUUCUAGCUCUAAACUCAAUAAACAGAAGGAUUAAGGGUCUGAUCCUUUCAUGAGACACUUGUGCUAUAAACUUUUCUGUUUUCAGAGGUUUUGUCCUCAGAUGUGAAGAUGGCCGUUUGGCCAUGAGAAUUAUUCACUUUUUUCCGGAUAAUUUUUUAUUUUAUUUCAAAGUCGGUGUUUGUUUUCCAACUAUAUCUUCAUAAAUUCCAAAUAAAGUGCUCUCUUCUCUUACUUGCAAAAAGUAUAACCAAAGAGAACUCCAUCAUCAACUCCAACUUCAAAAAUUCCAAAUAAAGUGAAACAUAUUUGGAAUCUAUGGCCAAACGCCUACUAAUUUGUAUGCUUUACAUGUUGCUGGAAAUUUAUUGCUUUUAAUUGAACACUGUUUGGAAGAUAAGAGGACUCCUCGGUCGAAGAAGAAGCUUGCUAGAUCAACACCAGAGAAACGCCAACUGGAUAUUAAAGCAAGAAAAAACAUGCUGAUCAGUGGAUCGAUGGAAGCAUGUUUGGUUCCACGCAACCUUAUGGAGGAUGAAUCAAUGUUACACUCAAUUCCUGAUCUCCGAAUGGAGGCUAAAAAGACAGCUGAGGUUAGUUGAAGUUUUUAUAUUUUGUUUACUUACAAAAUGUGCAUUACCUUGAUUAAGUUAGAACUUUUUUUUUUCUUCGUUUCUUCUGCGACACAAAAAGCACGAUCCUUCUCAAAAAAUCAAAAGCAUGAUGUUUUAUGUGGUUGAGUUAUGAUGAUUCUGAUCCUUAAGAUUCUUCAUUUCUUUAGCACUUAAUGCUGGAUCCUGUUAUGCUUCUUGUAAAUGUUUUUCUUUUAUUUUCUGUGAUAUUGGCAUAGUUUUCCUUGAUGUUGCUUUCUUCCAGAUUUUGCAGAAUAAGGUUCCUUUUCAUUUUCAUAGUAUCACACAACUGAAGCCACAGUUUUGUUUGGUUCUUUAUAACUUUCUUUCCUUUCAACAGGAGGAUUCCCGCAGAUAUGCAGGAAAACAAAUACAUCCUUUUUUUCAAUCCUUGAAAAUGGGUAAGAAGAGCCAAGAAGUGGUUGAUGUGGAGAGUAACUGGUAUUCUUCUGAGGGAGAGGGAAAAAGCCUUACUUUCAGCCCUAUUCAUGUAUUUGAAAUAGUUACGGUAUGAUGUUCUUCAUUCUCAAUUGUACAUUGUAUUAACAUGGCUGUCUCUUAAACUACUCUUCUAAUAGUUUUGUCCAGUUCUCUUGCUUGGAUGAUAUAUAAGACUUCCCUUUGCAGGAGGAUGAAACUGCCUUUGAUUGGGGUCACUGGAUCUUUUCUGAAGCUUGUUUUCUCGAUGCUGAUGUUGUGCUAGAAUGUGGAAGCUCUCCACUCUCUGAAGGUUCCACCACCUCUCUACAAUUUGAUAGCUUUUCUUGCAUCUCUGAUCCGAAGAGAACAUUGUCACAACUAAACAAGAUGGCACUGAAUCAACAUGCUAUUCCACAAGAUGAAGUGGUCUCUGAUCAUUCGUCUAGAGAAACAAAAUUAUAUCAUCCAGCAUUAUCUGUAGUUGCUGAGGAACAAAUCAGCCACUCUGAGCAGCUAAAGAAUGUGGGAGUGGUACGCUCUGACAUGGCCUUAUUUUGAAAUUUUACUGUUCGAUGCUCAUAUUGAUUAUGACCCCAAGUUUUGAAAAUAUAUCUCUUUAUAGUGAGCAUUAUAACUUUGAGUUGGCAAUUAUUUAUAAGUGGGUAUGUUGGUUUGACUUAUUGUGUCAUGCUACAAUCCUGCUUUUAGAGAUACGUAAAAAGUAAAAGGCUUUACGUUCUAGUCAAUAAGUGAGCGUAUGUUUCCUAUCUUUUUUGUCUGAUCAUCAGAUAAUACCUUUGUGGUUUGGAUAAUUGUAGGCAAAUGUAGUGGACUCCCUCCAAAAUAACCUUAGCAGUUCAGAUACCAAGAAGCAAGGUCAAUUUCUUCAAGAAAGGUGAGGAUGUUUAUGAUAUUGAUGGAGCAAACAGUUGUGAAGCUUGUUAAAAUUAUGCUCCUGUCUGAUGACUUUUGGUUUUCCAACUUGUUUUGUUACAUGCAAUAUCACGCCUCUACUUUUCUCAAGUUAUUAUAAUAAGAUUCUUCUGGGGCACAGAUAGUUUACUGUUUCAACUUCCAUAUUAUUAAGACAAGACAUCUCUAACUUUUUUGGACUUGCACCGUUUUGUCUGAAGUGACAAGAUGGUUGAGGGGGGUAAGUAGUGUAAAUGAAAGCCAUUCUUUUUUUGUUUGAUAAUUGAUAUAAUUUAAGUUGAUAGAUAGUAUCCAGGAGGUACACAUACCGAGUAUGUACUAAAAGCUGGACUUAGCUCCUACUAUAUGCUAAGGAGACUAUCAAGUGCAGAACAUUCCCCAUCUCAUUUACAAUGUUAUCCCUUGCUCCAAAGGUAUAAAUUAUCAAGGCAUCUGUGUGUGUGUAUAUAUAUAUAUAUAUAAAUAUGUACUUUCCUCCCGUCAAGAUGCAUAAUAUUGUUGCAUCCAAGGGUUCUAACUUACACCUGGCGAGCACUUUCUUAGUGCCUUGUUGUUUAUUUCAAUAAUAUACCUACCAGUUCAAAAUACAAAAUGUUGCAUCCAAGGGUGUGUCCUAGUGGUCUAUGAAGUGGUUGAAAAUUUUGGACAUCAUAGUUCAAAUACCAGCAGAGACAAAAUAUUAGGUGUUUUCUUCCCAUAUGUCUAGGCCUUGGUACGCAGAGUAACCCGGUACCUUUUCUGGUGAGAAGUAACAGAUACCUAGCUGAAUAAUCAAGGUACAUACAAGCUGGCCCCGACACCACUGAUAUUAAAAGAAAAAAAGACCUCAGAUUGCUUUCUAACCAUAUUGUCCAAAUUAUGCACAAAAGCAUACUGCUGCAAGUUUGUUUCUUCUUCCCCAAUUCCUCUUCUUGCCAGCUUUGGGAGUUCACUUUGAAUCUCCUAGCAUUACCCAUUCAAAAAUACUCAAAAACACCUCCUGCGUUUUGACUCUGAUGCCCACCUUCCGUUUUUCCUCAACAAUUGUGGACCAUCUCAUGAAACAUGUUCUCUUUCCUUCCCACAAGUCACUUCUUAUUUUCUUCAACUUCAGAAGGGAUGGAUAACAAAAAACAUCAGGUAGGUGGAUGUCGGCAUUCGCCAAAAAUAUAUACUGCUUUUGGUCAGAUUCAUUUUGCCUUCAAGUGCUGCUUUUGGUCAGAUUUAGGCUAGUAGUUUCACCUUUGAAUGUAGCAAUUGUUCCUCAACACUUUCAUAUAGUACUUAGGUAUCAUCAACAUAUAAUAGGCGUGAAAUUUCAGUAUCAUUCCCCUCUUUGUUUCCAGUUUGAAUCCUUUAAUCCAUCCCAGUUUUGAUGUCCUUAAAAUUAGACUGAAAACUUCCAUCACUAGCAAAAAUAGGAAGGGAGAAAGGGAUCUAUUUCAAUCUUGUUUGAGGACUAAAAACCCUUCUAGAGAGCCAUUUAAUAUUAUUGAAAAUUUUGCAUUGGGGAAAACAGUGAGAUACAUCAAACAAUACAUAGUGAGAAAGUGAUUGACUAACAAACUGCAGUUGUGACUGUUAUUCACGGAUAUGGGAUAGGAACCCAAUAUAAAGAAUGAGAAGAGAACCAUACAUGAUGCUGAUGGAGCUGAACCUGCCUACCUUUUUGGUCUCCUUGGCAAUUACUUUCGCACGGCAUAUGCUAUAGUAACUUCGAUCCGUCCUUUUACUCCUUGACAAAAACUCUGGGAGUUGAUAAAAUGAACUUUUUAUAUUGCAGUGCUGGUAUGCGGUGUGUAGUCCAGGUUGUUUCCAUCACAUUCUGAAAUUGUACAUGGGUGCACAUCAUAGUUCUUUCCCUGAAUACAGGAUAAAAGAAACUUUUUGGUUGUUGAUUUGAAAUAUAUGUUGCUUCUUGCCUGCUGUCUGAAUUUUCCGUUAUCACUAUGGGUGCUGCUUUUUUAUGUAAUGCUGAUUUACUCCGAACUAUUUUUUCAUGUUUAGGAUAGUGUUUGACUAUCAGAACUGUCCCAGUCAGCCUAAAAGUUGUCUGUGGACUAACAAAUAUCAGCCGGAGAGAGCUUUUCAGGUGAAUAUCUCAUUUUGGAUACCAGGACUGUCAAUAUUAUUGUGAAGACACGUCUUAAAAGAGGGCUAUUCAUUCAUAUGUUGACAUUUUCCAUAUGCAGUAAGAUAAAUGUUCUCCAACAUUUUGUAUGCAGGUGUGUGGUAAUAGCAAGCCAGUGAAACUUUUAAGUGAUUGGCUGCAUCUUUGGCAUGAAAAAGCUUCUCGCACAAGCAAGUCAAGCAUUCAGAGUGAUUGUGAUACUCUUCAAGACUUCUCCGACAGCCUUUAUGAAAGUGAAGCUGACUCUUCAAAUGAAGAGCGGCUGAAGAAUGUCCUGCUGGUAUCUGGACCAGUUGGGGUAUGUAGCUUGUUUCUACUCUUCUACAAGUUUUAUUUUUUAUUUUAAAAAAAAAAAAUUGGUGAUGGGGUAGGGUGGGUGAAUUUUUUUUGGAUGUCAUUUUUAUAAAAGAAUUGGGGGGGGUGGAGGCGUGGGGGGGGGAGGGGGAGGAUGGAGGUACGGGGGANNNNNNNNNNNNNNNNNNNNNNNNNNNNNNNNNNNNNNNNNNNNNNNNNNNNNNNNNNNNNNNNNNGGGGGGGGGAGGUGGAGGAUGGAGGUACGGGGUAGAAAAAUAAUUAAUGUUCUUUUUUUGUAUGAAAAAAUAUUUUCUAAAAAAAUAAUAAUUUAAGGGUGGGGUGGGGAUGGUAGAGGUUGGGUUAUUAACAAUUUAGCUUUGAAUUUUUUUGUUGUUGUAAGAGAUUAAAGUGGGUUAGAACCAUUUUACCCAAACCAUAUUUGACCAAAUCCAUAUUUAUCCAUAUUUUAUAUGGGUGGAUUGUAAUUCAAUCCAUUUUGACUCAAUCCAUAUUCAAUCCAUCCAAAUCCGAUCCAAUCCAACCAUUUGCCACCCCUAAGUGGAGGUAAGUAGAAAACCUGGUGAUUAGAGGGUGGAGUACUUCCCAAUAAUAUUAGGGUCAAAUCAUUCAGUUACACUUUCUAAGUAAGCGUUUGGCCAUAGAUUCCAAAUACUUUUCACUUCAUUUGGAAUGUCCGAGUUGGAAUUGAAUAUAGAGUGUUGUUUGGCUAUACUUUUUGCAAAGAAUCUUUGGAAUAAUGUUCAUGCUUGAAUGUAUUUAAAUACAACUUCAAAAGAGAAGAGUGAGUUGGAAAACAGGUUACAAGUUUUUUCUAAAUUUGAAAUACAACUUCAAGUUGGAUUUGGAAUUUUCAUGGCCCAACAGGUUAAAUCAAUUUUCGGCAUUUAGUUUGAUAGUCAUUUCAGUAGGAAAUAGAUACUUAUCCUGAGAAACUAAACACAAAUAUGUUUCGCAGUUUCUUCUGCCAUGGUUCUAUUAAUGCUGUCUUGACUAGGCAUAAUCAAGCCUGCUUCAGUAUAUGUUGAAGUAUCUCUUAUUGGUGAUUUUUAUUGUACUAACUGUUAUUAUGCAGAGCGGAAAGUCGGCUGCAAUUUAUGCCUGUGCCAAAGAACAGGGAUUUCAAGUGAUUGAGGUAAGGCUUUAAAAAUUUGCAUGGAUGUUAUGUUGCACUUGCACAAUGUAGAUGCAUGUGUUACAGUACGAGUCUUGGAGCAUUUUAAGAUUUGAUUUCAGACGUGUUCAGACCAAAUUCUUAAAAAGAAUUCUUCAAAUUAUCAAGAAUCUAUAUAACUUAUUUUUUGGUUUGUUGUCUUGUUAGGUUAAUGCAUCAGAUUGGCGAAACGGAGCUCUUGUAAAACAGAGAUUUGGGGAGGCUGUAGAAUCCCACUGGCUUCAACGGUUUGUCUAUGUCUGGAUGCUGGUUUUCUUUUGUUUCUUGGACUUGUUUGUGAUAAAAAUUUAUUAUAUGAUUGUUCUUCUAUUUUGACUUAUUAUUAUAAAAGUUUAUCAAGAUAUAAAAUCUAAAUACUGAGAGCAGUUGUUGUUUUCUUUUCCUUUUGGGGGUUACUGUACCUUGUUGUUUGGUAUACAGUUGAAGUAUUUGCAUUUCCAUUUAAAGAAAAAAACAUUUCUCUUGUGAUGGUUCGUGGUUUUACUUUUGGGUUCCCUUAUCAUAUGAUUUUUCACAUUUAGUUCUGGCUUUCUUAAAUUUGUACUACACAUAAAUUAAAGGACUAAUUUAACAUUCAUCUAGAAUUCUUAAACCUCCAAGUCAUGCAUGCUGGCUUCUGAGAUUGGUCUUCCUUUAGGAAAUGCAUUUCAUUAGUCAGUGAUCAGGGAGGGAAGACCUUAGGCUUUUUAGUGGCCUCUUAACGUUGUACUUUGACCAUUUCUUGGUGUCUCAUGCUUGUUCCAAGAAAAGUUAGCUGAAUUACUCCAUGAAUGUUUAUAUUUGUUACCAAUUUUCAUAUAGAAAUUUGCUGCUCACAGAAAAAUUGAGUGAAAAUCGUGCAAAAUAGUCUAUUUAGUUAUUUCUUUUCUCUGUGACGGGAUUUCACUUCAUGUAAGCACCAAAUUAUGACUACAGUAUAUCUUAAAUGAGUUGACUCACAAUACUUCCCUUUUGUCUGUUCGAUUCUUGUUUCAGGAUGCAAAAAGAUCCAGUGUAUUUGGAGGACAAACUAGUGUCUGGCGGUGGAGUUAUUGAAGCGAUACCUUUGUCUGAUGAGGAAAAUGCUCCAAAUGCCACUGGAGUACAAAGAAAACAAGUCUUCAGGGAGGAGAUAACUGCUAAUUAUCAGGGUGAAACUAAGACUCUAAUUCUUUUUGAGGAUGUGGAUACCGCUCUUUGUGAAGACCGUGGUUUUGUCUCUACCAUUCAACAGCUUGCAGAGACUGCAAAGCGGCCCAUGAUAUUAACUAGCAACAGUAAGGGGGUUAAAAGGUUGAAAUACAAUAAUUUGUCAAGUUUAUGUUUCACAAGUUAAGUAUUAUUCCUUGAUGUGAUAGGUGACAAUCCGGUGCUCCCAAAUAAUUUAGAUAGGCUACACGUGUGCUUUAUGAGGCCAUCUUUGGAGGAGCUCCUUGGACUUGUGCACAUGGUACAUCUUGUUUUGCUAGUUUCUCACUGAAAUUUGUCUUAAUCUGGCUAAUCAAAUAAAUUACUUUCUAGGUAUGUGCUGGAGAACAAGUUAAAAUUCACCCAAUGCUAGUAGAGCGGUUUGUAGAUCAUUGCCAUGGAGAUAUUCGUAAAACUAUUAUGUAUCUCCAGUUCUGGUGUCAAGGCCAAACUUUGGAGAAAGGUAAUUCACCUCAUAUCAACAAGUUAAUGCAUGCUUCAGGAUAGUUGAUUGCAUGAAUAAUUUUUGCCAUAGCAAAAGAGAAUGCUAACUGAAAAAGUUCUUGUUAAGCAAAAUUUUUGAAGCUUUCAUGUUAUUUUGUAAAGUGAAUCUUCUAAAACGAAUGCAUUCAUUUAUUUCAUUUUUACUAAUAACGAAAUCAUUGAUAGCCACAAUAUGCAUAUAGAGCAUGCCGACAUAGAAAUUAUUGUGUUAUCUGUUUAGGAUCUUGCUUAAGACUAAAUUUUGGCCAAUCAAAACUUCAAGCCUUUUAUUAUUGAUGAAACCUUACAUAUCUUGAAUGCAAUGACAAGUGGAAAGGAAUUUAUGUUGAUACAAGGGGGCAAAAACAAGAAAGGUAGAUAGAGAUAAAAUCUUGGAAGAGAACCGAAGUUGGACCUUUUAAAGAAUCUUAAACACAAUUUUGAGUGUCGGACCCAAAUCUUUGCUUGAGCCUUGAAGACCAAAGAACAACCUAGAUUAUCAAACUAAGUAUCAACCCAUAAAGAAACAUACCUCUACUGAUUGAAGACAAGUUAACUAGAAGAGAUAAGGUUAGUUUAAAUCCUAGUGUUAAUAUGCCCAAUGGUCACUCAACUAAGGAGUUUUAUCACAGAAAGUCACUCAACUAUAUAUGUUUUACUUUCAAAGUCGACUCAACUUUGAUUUUUACUUCAAAAGUCACUCAACUAUAAAUGUUUUACUUACAAAGUCACUAAAUAGACAUUGAAAUUUCCUUACAUGAAAUUUGUAUUUAAAAUCAAAUUCUAAGACAAAAAAACACAAACUUCUUUUAAAAUGUUUUCAAUACAUGAGUUUAGUUAUUUUAUAAAAUAAAUCAUUUAAACCUCUUUUAAAAAAAUUACUUGUCAGUUAAUUCCUUUAAAAACAUUUGAGUUUUGAUCACUAGAAAAUAUUAGCUUUUAUUUAAAUAAUUUUUUAUUUUUUUUAUGACAAGGAAAACCCUCAGCCGCUACCCUUUGGGUGCGCACAGGGUAAAACCCCCGCUCCUAUGCAAUAGCUUGCAAACCACAUAGGAGAGAGAUAAUCCGCACUAGGCAAGCCCGGUGCGACGAGCUUGACCCAAAAGCAAACCCCUUGCUUUCGCUGGCAAGGGGUUUCGAACUUGAGACCUCCAACAUGGAAGUCCCAAGCCCAAACCACUGGGCCACUCCAAAGGGUUUUAUUUAAAUAAAAUUACCUAAUAAUAAAAUAUGUUAUUUAGUAAUUUCAAAGUGUUUACAAAUAAUAAUCAACCAAAUGACUUUAAAUGGAUAUUAUUUGAUUUUUUAGAGUUUGAUUUCAAAUAAAAAUCCUAUAUAAGCAAAUUUCAAUGGAAAAAAUAAUUAAAUAGGUUGAGUGACUUUGUAAGUAAAACAUUUAAAGUUAAGUGACUUUGUAAGUAAAACACUUGUAGUUGAGUGACUUUUGAAGUAAAUCAAAGUUGAGUGGCUUUCUGUUUUAAAACUCCUUGGUUGAGUGACCAUGGAGAAUAUUAACUCUUAAAUUCUCUGAAGGGGGAUGUUCAUUAAUCAAUUGCCAAAAUCUAAUGGUAUACACAUUAAGGGAAGGUAAAAAGAAAUUAAGUAUGUAGGAACAAUCUCUCUCCAUAUCUGAACAGUUCUCGUUCUUCAAUAGGUGCUGAUGAAAUUAUGACUACACUAAAUCUACAACCUAUGUUUUCUUCAUCCUAAAGUUUCAUUAAACUCAUUUAAUUCCAUGAUGUGUUCUUGCUACGACCAGGUGAUGACCUGAAGCUAAGAUAUUGUCCUCUUCAGUUUGAUCUAGAUGCUGGUCAUCUGCUACUACCGAAAAUUAUCCCUUGCGAUGAUUUCCCAACUCCACUAUCAGAACUUGUGGAUGAGGAGAUAACUAAGUCGAUGAGAGUAGAAGAAGAUAGCUGCUUGAUGAACGAGAUAGCUGAGGAAGAUGAGCUAUACAAUAUUACUGGAAAGAACAAUUCUAGGAAUCACGAUAUGGGUGCAAACAAUGUUAAUGGAAAAAAGGAUGCAAUGUUGAGCUUGCUCUACUCAUUUCAGGAUCACAAUGAGUGUACUAUAUUUGGUACUACCUCAGAAUUUUCUGAUGCCUCUGAAUCACCAAUUGCAUUCACUCGAAGAAAUACGCUGAGAAAACUUGAUAGAGUCAUGUCUUCAGAUUCUGAGGAGGAAUGCAGCAGAGUUCCCUUGUCUUUAGAUCAACCUGAUACCAUAAAUGAAGAGAUUGAAACAGCAUGCAGUUCUCCCUCCCAUUUUUCUGCUACUGAAAUCUCCUGCAGUUUAUUGACAGAGAAUUUUCAUUUCAAAGCUAAAAGGUUGAAAAGAAAUUAUUUGGAGACAACUGAUUAUUCUACUGUGAAUGUCGUAAGUAAGUCUGUGAACAUUUCAUGUGUGCCAGAGUCAUCAUUCAUCCCUGAGACUCUGCUUACUACUGAUUCAGAAUUAAUUUCAAAUACGGAGUCAUAUAAUGAUAUUGAUGUCAAAGUUGAGGCUGAUUAUUGUAGCAAUCUGUCCCUUCCAAGUAUGUAUCCACUCAAGGUUGAGAAACUUGAUGAAACUGUUCUUCUAUCUUCCAAGUAUCAGGAGUUGCAGGGUUGUAGUUCUGAUAGAAUAACAAAAUCAAUUCCUGGUGAGGUUGGUAGUUCUGAUAGAAUAACAAAAUCAAUUCCUGGAGAGGUCGUAGAGCAUUUCAACGGACAAUGCAUGGAGGAUGUUCCAAGUGGAUAUCGGUUGUUGGAUGAGUGUAGCCGCAUGGACUUCAAUAAAAAUUCUACAUCCUCUAAGACUAUUGUGCAGCUUAACCUGAAUACUUCUGUUCAGGAAACAUGGAGAAGACUUCGUGAAGGUUGCCUAGACCUGAAACAGUAUAUCACCCCAGAGCAGAAAGAAUCUUCUCAGAUUCUUAAUGUUGCUCAUGAAAUGAGUGAUUUGAUUUCAGUGGCUGACAAAAUCAAUUCCUGCUGAGGUUGGUAUUUCUGAUAGAAUAACAAAAUCAAUUCCUGGUGAGGUUGGUAGUUCUGAUGGAAUAACAAAAUCAAUUCCUGGAGAGGUCGUAGAGCAUUUCAACGGACAAUGCAUGGAGGAUGUUCCAAGUGGAUAUCGGUUGUUGGAUGAGUGUAGCCGCAUGGACUUCAAUAAAAAUUCUACAUCCUCUAAGACUAUUGUGCAGCUUAACCUGAAUACUUCUGUUCAGGAAACAUGGAGAAGACUUCGUGAAGGUUGCCUAGACCUGAAACAGUAUAUCACCCCAGAGCAGAAAGAAUCUUCUCAGAUUCUUAAUGUUGCUCAUGAAAUGAGUGAUUUGAUUUCAGUGGCUGAUUUAUUACUUACUGAUUGCAAACACCUCCUACCUGUAAGUAGUUUAUUAGACACAGAUGUUACCUUUAUGUUACUGCAAGUGCAGUUUUUGAUGAUUGUAAGUGCUCAUCCAGGAUUCUCUGGAGGCUUCAAUGAUCCCUAUCAAAGAAUCUCAUUCGUACAAUUGGCAUGAUGACCAGUUGAAGAUGUUUUCAAUUUUCGCUCAACAUGGAGUUUGCUGUUUUGCGAAAGAAAUUACUUCUCUCAGACCGAGCACCUCAUCUGUGCAUGAGGUGGACUUGACCUGGGAGAUGUUGACAUCCACAAACAGUACAAUGGCACUGGGAAAGAUGGUUGGACAGAGUAGGGGAAAACAUGAGGGCUUGCAUUUAAGGCUACCGAAAAUUUGUCAUUCCUUCAGAAGGUAUAGGACCAUAUGCCCCUCUUCCCUUGUAUUUUUGCUUAUAAAUUGGUUGUCCUAAGUAGUUGUGUAUCUUCCAAGUAAAUUGCAUAUAAAAUUGAAAGGGUUCUCUAACUUUAGAUGUAUCUAUUGCUUGUCACUGCUUAGAUAUGUUCAGCUUGGGGUUUAUACCCACAGAUGUUCAAUCUGUUACCGUAAAGUUGUAUGCUGUUUAAAAAGAGAGUGCAGGAAGAAACAUGUAGAAACCACUAGAAGAGGGCAAGAAUUAGAGAACUGUAAACUUGCAAGGAGUUCUGCUUUCUCUGAUAGAGAACUGCAUAGAGUGAAAGGUCAUGGAUGAUGAACCUCAGAAGAACGGAGGGGGGUUCUUUGAGGGAAUUGAGUCUCUAUAGGUUCUGUAUUAUAUUAAACUUCAAAUCUUCUCUUUCACAGAAGAUUGGCCAUUUUUGAGGGAAUUUUUUAGUGUGGUUAAUGAAGGAUUUCCACUUUCGGUUGGGUUUUUGUACAGUUUUAAAAUUGUUGGUUUUAACCACUACUAAUUGUUCCCUAUCCAUGCUUUGAAUUUGGCCAUUUCUAUUAUUUGUCUGAAAUGUCCAAGAUUGCUCAACACAUGUAACUGGUCUGACUUCCUUUUAGGACUAUAUUUUAGUUUAGCUAUUAUGUUCAGUUGAGAAUUACUGUGAUAUUGCUAAGCUGCCUUGUAUUGUUCCUGUGUUUCAGCAAAGUGGACCCUAAUGCAUACAACUUACUUCAGUCUGUUGUUCCAUUGCGCUCACACAUUGCAAUGAAAGGUGAUUCAUUUCAUGAAUAUCUGUCUUCAUUGAGCCAAAUCUCAAGAUUUGGAAUCACUGGGUUAUCAGAAAGCAUUGAUAGGAGAAGACAGAGAAGGUAUGUUUCAUAUCCCACAAAAAAACAGUUUGUGCAUUUCUCGAAAGAACUUUAACAGAUUGGCAGCAGUUGAAUUGAUAUGCUUAUAUUCUAUCCAAAUUGAAAAUUGCAGGGCACGUGCUGGUCAACACUACCUUAGUUCUGGUAGAUUAGGUUUGUCUCAAGAUGAUAUCUCAUUACUGGGCCAAUAUAAUUGCUACCAGAAAGAUCUACCAGGGUCAGAGACUUGAUGUAUAUAAUUUUAGAGAUGGAUCCCCCACCACCACAAAUGAAAUGGGAGAGGGAUGCAAUGUAUAAUCAAUUGUUGUUUAUGGUAAUAGCCACGGCCAGGCAGCAGUUUAGUUUGCCUGAAACCAUGGACGUCAAAGAUAACAGUUAGGAAUAGGCACACUAACUUAACUGGAGAUGUAGUUCAGUUAUUCCUUCAUUUGAUAUCAUACAUAGUCAUGUACCCUGUCAAAACUAUACAGUUUUACAGUUGGUAAAUUCAAAAUAAAAUGUUGGGGAAAAAAGGUUUUAAUCGAGUCCAUUUUUUACACAAGCUUGACGUUCUUAUCAUUAGUUCUUGAUGAUGUAUCAAUGUCUGUUAAGUUGUAGUGAUAUUUCAUCCUUUUGUCUUAAGAUUCUAGUGUUCUAACGGCAAUCCAUUUUCUGUUCCCCUCAUCCAAUGUCCAAAGAAAUAAAACAGGAAGUAAAGUACCAAAGUCAAGUGAGAUUGGACAAAAGAAAGAACAUUAGGUGUUUCUUUUGUUUCAGUUUUUUGUAAAAAACAAACAUUAUUAAGGUCCCAAUAUUUGCACAUUUGAAAUUGCAUUGUGACUUACUAUAUUAUAAUUCAUGAGGAGACUUUCAUAUUAUUCUCUCAAGGAAGAGUCUUUAAUGUAGUGACAGAUAUGGUUACUCUUAACGAGACGAACCCCAUUUGAGCAGUGUCUUUUUUAAAGUGUAACUAACAUUUUCAUUUAACAAAAAUUAACAGGUUAUGUGCAAGCUAUGUGACAAACUUGGACUUAGGCUCUCAUCUCAAUCGAGCCUCGAGGCGGGUUCACUAUUAUAAUUUAUAGUUACAGAUUUGGUAAAAUUUAGUAAUUUUGAUUCAAAUUUUAUAUUUAUAUAAAAAAAACUAAUGGAUAUAAAUCAUUUAUCUAAAAUUCAACAAAACAAAAAAGUACUAAAAUUUUUUAAUCAGCCUGUCGAUUCGCACUGCCAUAUUUACCAACAUUAUUUAUACCAUUGAAUUGGUAAUCAGAAAAAGCAACCAACUAGAGUUAAUGAUUGCAUGCGGGGUCUUUAAUUACUUGACACUACGCUCACAUGAGUCUCUUCUACAAAAGUUGUACUCACGGGCUAUUUACUACUCUUACUCAUUAUCAGCAGUCGUAUACCGUCAAAUCUCUUUAUAAUAAUGUUGCUUUGUCUCGAUAAUUAUUAAGUAUUACAAUAAUAAAGUUUGUUAAAUGAAAUAUAGAGAUUCAAAUGCAUUUGACAUUCAAAAAAACAAAAAACAAAAAAAAGAG
rnacentral:lncRNA from 1 species